rnacentral:rRNA from 1 species
UACGUAGGUGGCAAGCGUUGUCCGGAAUUAUUGGGCGUAAAGAGCUUGUAGGCGGUUUGUCGCGUCUGCUGUGAAAUUUCGGGGCUCAACCCCGAACUUGCAGUGGGUACGGGCAGACUAGAGUGUGGUAGGGGAGACUGGAAUUCCUGGUGUAGCGGUGAAAUGCGUAGAGAUCGGGAGGAACACCAGAGGCGAAAGCGGCGACCUGGACAGGUACUGACACUCAACUACGAAAGCGUGGGGAGCAAACAGG